rnacentral:misc_RNA from 1 species
CUUCCCAAUUCUUCUUUCUUGAUCCUUUAGGGUCCCAAAUUUAGAUAAAUACUCUAGCGUUUCCCUUUCCCUUAAGUCUUUCCAUUUCUUGCUCUGAAACUCUGUUUUAGGUUUUGGAAAUAGUUCCUCGAUUCAAACCCCGUUCUUGAAAAUCUUGACUCUUACUCACCGUUCUUUCCUUGUUCCUGUAAUUUCUGAUUAUGGAAGAGGAAUCUUGGGAGCAAAAGUUGAGGGAUUUGGAACAGGCAUUUGUGAAAUUGUUGACAGGGCAUUUAAAAGAUAUGAGGAGAGGCUGGAUAAAAUAUGGGAGACGUGGGAGAUGUCAUUUCAAGAGAAAAUAGAGAAAUUUGAAAUAGAGGAGCAAGUGCCCAUUAAUGAUGUGGAUAUGACAGAAGAGGAUCACAAUGCAGAAAAGUUUGAUGUGCAAAUGUUAAACUUUGAUGAGGAACACUAGGAAAUUCAUGCUUCACUAGCUACUGAGGAAGAAAAUUCAGAAGUGGCUUGUAGCCAAGAGGUGGAUGAUAAGGCUCAUAUCCUUAAUCUGACGUUGGAAUCAGUGAGUUUUGAUGUUCUAGAAAAGCAGUCCAUAAUGAUUUCCGGUGUAGAUAAGGUGGAUGAGAUAUGGUUUGAGCUGGUACAUUCAGAAAAACAACAGGGAGAUUUUGUUUCAAUUCCUGAGGAGGUGCCAAAAACUAUGGUCCUUUCCAAACACAUGGCAUAACCUGGACGACUCAAGGGUAGUUAAGGUUGAUGAAGUGGUUGAUUUUGAAUUUCAUUGCUAUAUUUUGGAGUGGGUUUCCUAUGAGAUUGUUCUUCUCAAAGAGUAUGAGUACGAGAAAUGGCAAAGAACAAAAUGAAAUUUAAAUUCUGUCAUUGGAGGGAGAACGUACAAUGGUUGAUUCUAAGAAAGUAUGUGCAGAACAUUCCGAUACACCAACAUUCCAAUUGGAAAGGCAAUGUUAUUUAGAUAAAAUGCUUCCUGCCAAUUCAGUCCUAGCAUUCAAGU